CCUACGGGUGGCAGCAGUGAGGAAUAUUGGUCAAUGGCCGUAAGGCUGAACCAGCCAAGUCGCGUGAAGGAAGAAGGCUCUAUGGUUUGUAAACUUCUUUUAUAGGGGAAUAAAGGUAUCCACGUGUGGAUAUUUGCAUGUACCCUAUGAAUAAGCAUCGGCUAACUCCGUGCCAGCAGCCGCGGUAAUACGGAGGAUGCGAGCGUUAUCCGGAUUUAUUGGGUUUAAAGGGUGCGUAGGUUGUUUUUUAAGUCAGCGGUGAAAGUUUGUGGCUCAACCAUUAAAUUGCCGUUGAAACUGGAAGACUUGAGUGUGGGAGAGGUGAGUGGAAUGCGAGGUGUAGGGGUGAAAUCCAUAGAUAUC
rnacentral:rRNA from 1 species